GCCUGGGUGGCUCGGUCGGUUGAGCAUCCGACUUUGGCUCAGGUCACGAUCUCACGGUCUGUGAGUUCGAGCCCCGCCUCGGGCU
rnacentral:tRNA from 1 species